rnacentral:lncRNA from 7 species
AAUUCCAUCUUCACAGGUCAUAAAUGUGCAGCUGGGGAAGCCUUGGCUCUGCAGCCAUGGCUGUGAUAAUGGCCUUCAGGUGGUCGUGUUAGGGCUGCUCUGAGCUUUGUGCCCAUAUCCCAGGCACAGGGGCACUGAUGGUGUUCAGGCAGAUGUGCUUUUAUCUCCACAUUUUGCAACCAGGCUUUUCCCAAAAUGUUUUUGUUUGGCAACUGUACUUAUGUUUUUAGCUUUCCCAGCAUGCUACUGAAGGACCUUGCUGAGAUUUUUCAGCGACGUUUGGAGCUUUUGCCCAGAAGAAAUUUUCCCCAGAGGCUACAAUGAGUAACUGUCAGCACUGCCUGCUAUUAAUAUUUGCAUGCAAAAAUUGAUCUUGGAGCUGCUGUGAAGUGGCUGCCCUGUUGUAUGCACGAGCCAUAAAGCUGAUGCACUGGGAGAUGCAUGCCUUUGGCUGAAUGCUGUAGAUCUGAUAUGCUGGCUUCUCAGCAGCCUCGGUGCCCGAAGUAGCACGUUGAACACUUCAGAGAGGAGUGGAUGUGAACUGCCCUAUGGAUAACAUCUUGGGUUCCUCUGCACAUACGUAGAAUAAACAAAACAGAAGCCCUGAAGUCGCAGAAUAAAGUGCUCUGAAAGGCAGAAAGAAUACAGUAUACACAGCUGGAGUUGUUUUGGAAGCUGUAUCCAUCCAGGGUUGAAAGAAGGGGGACGAGGUGCAGAGAAGUAACAAAGCACCCAAAAUGAACAGCUGAAGACAGGACAUCAGGGACAUGUGGACUUGGCUGUUUAUUGAUGCAUUAGAGCAGAUCAGAAGGCUUUUGCUUCUUCAAAGAAGGCAUUGCUGCUUUGUCCAUCCACGUAAUCCAGCUGGUGGCAUGGCAGUGCGACUGCUGCAUAGAGCUGCUGUGCAGCAGGAGGUGCAGAAAUGGUUGAGAACAACAUGCUGGUCACCAUCACCUCUCUGAGAAGAAGAGAUGGGAAACAGUUUCAGCCCUAGAGACUGUCUUGGGCUCUUUCUCCUUGUCCUGGAGAAAAUAAAAGCUUUGC